rnacentral:rRNA from 1 species
UACGGGGGGAGCAAGCGUUGUUCGGAUUUACUGGGCGUAAAGGGCGCGUAGGCGGCCAGCACAAGUCAGUUGUGAAAUCUCCGAGCUUAACUCGGAAAGGUCAACUGAUACUGUGCGGCUAGAGUGCGGAAGGGGCAACUGGAAUUCUUGGUGUAGCGGUGAAAUGCGUAGAUAUCAGGAGGAAUACCGGUGGUGUAGACGGCUCUCUGGACCGCCACUGACGCUGAGACACGAAAGCGUGGGUAGCAAACAGG